rnacentral:rRNA from 1 species
UACGGAGGGUGCAAGCGUUAUCCGGAUUUACUGGGUUUAAAGGGUGCGUAGGUGGGUUGGUAAGUCAGUGGUGAAAUACUUUCGCUUAACGAAGGAACUGCCAUUGAUACUACCAGUCUUGAAUACAGUGGAGGUAGGCGGAAUACGUCAUGUAGCGGUGAAAUGCUUAGAUAUGACGCAGAACACCAAUUGCGAAGGCAGCUUGCUACACUGUUAUUGACACUGAGGCACGAAAGCGUGGGGAUCAAACAGG